AGGACGCGUGCAUUGCCAUGGGCGAGCCUGAUGCAGCGACGCCGCGUGAGGGAUGACGGCCUUCGGGUUGUAAACCUCUUUCAGUAGGGAAGAAGCGAAAGUGACGGUACCUGCAGAAGAAGCGCCGGCUAACUACGUGCCAGCAGCCGCGGUAAUACGUAGGGCGCAAGCGUUGUCCGGAAUUAUUGGGCGUAAAGAGCUUGUAGGUGGCUUGUCGCGUCUGCCGUGAAAACCCGAGGCUCAACCUCGGGCGUGCGGUGGGUACGGGCAGGCUAGAGUGUGGUAGGGGAGACUGGAACUCCUGGUGUAGCGGUGAAAUGCGCAGAUAUCAGGAAGAACACCGAUGGCGAAGGCAGGUCUCUGGGCCAUUACUGACACUGAGAAGCGAAAGCAUGGGUAGCGAACAGGAUUAGAUACCCUGGUAGUCCAUGCCGUAAACGUUGGGCACUAGAUGUGGGGGACAUUCCACGUUUUCCGCGUCGUAGCUAACGCAUUAAGUGCCCCGCCUGGGGAGUACGGCCGCAAGGCUAAAACUCAAAGGAAUUGACGGGGGCCCGCACAAGCGGCGGAGCAUGCUGAUUAAUUCGAUGCAACGCGAAGAACCUUACCAAGGCUUGACAUGCACCGGACGACCUCAGAGAUGGGGUUUUCUUCGGACUGGUGCACAGGUGGUGCAUGGUUGUCGUCAGCUCGUGUCGUGAGAUGUUGGGUUAAGUCCCGCAACGAGCGCAACCCUUGUUCUAUGUUGCCAGCACGUGAUGGUGGGGACUCAUAGGAGACUGCCGGGGUCAACUCGGAGGAAGGUGGGGACGACGUCAAAUCAUCAUGCCCCUUAUGUCUUGGCUUCAAGCAUGCUACAAUGGUCGGUACAAUGGGUUGCGAAACUGUGAGUGAGCGAAUCCCAAAAAGCCGGGCCUCAGUUCGGAUUGGGGU
rnacentral:rRNA from 1 species